UCAUUUUCAGGCUGCAUCGAAAAGUUCACACAUUUUGGCGACCUUGAAACUGGCGCUAAUUGAACGCUAAUCAAGAAGAAGCCGACGGCGGAUGACUGGGCAAGUGCCCAAACCAAAGGGGAAGCUAACCAGAUGCGAUGCCCUGUUAUACCACCAACAGCGAUUGCAGCAGCAGCUGUGUGAGAUGGAGGCUUUGCUGUUCUCCCUUGAAAGUCUAACAGCAAUUAAUUUGUUGACUUACACCAGAAUCAUAAUUAAUUAUACUGCGAUAAAAAAGAACUUUGACAUGGCUAAAGAGAAACUCUAUUAAAAUUCCAUUAUUUUUAUGGAAGCUGUCUAGGCUUAAGGAAAUAGCUCUUCACUCAGCGGAAUUUCCCACAUUCAUUUAAAAAGCAGCAACAGCAGCUAUAUGAUAUGAAGGUUUUGCUAUUCUCCCUGAAAGUCUAUCAGCAAUUAAUUUGUUGACUUAAAUAAUUAUACUACGAGGAAAAGGACGUACACAAAUGCUGGAAAACUUUGACAAGGCUGAAAGCUGAGAACGGAACAAAAAAAUCCCAGUAUUUUGUAUGGAAUCAUGCAUUUCUAUGCUUAAGCAGAUGGCACUUAGCGGAACUUCCCACAUUCAUAUGCUUAAAAAGCAUCAGCAGCUAUAUGAAAUACAGGUUUUGCAAUUCGAACGAAAACGAGAAAAAUCCCAGUAUUUUGUAUGGAUUCAUGUCUAGGCUUAAGGCAAUUCGGAAGGAAAAGAUUGUAAAAAAAAUAACAUAUGCCAAACAAAUAAUCUGUAGUUAUAUGUGUGUACUAAAGAUAUCUAGCUAUAUUAUAAGGAAAUCAGAUUUAAUUAAGUCUAGUUGCGGCAGCCGCUCAGCCGGAACCAAUGUACAAAAGCCUAUAAGAAUCGCGAUACUGAUGUUACUUUAACGCAGAACAAAUUUAACAAAUUUAUUGAAUUCAUGUCAUUUAUAAUUGUUUUGAUGCA